rnacentral:rRNA from 1 species
GGGGGGGGGGGGGGGGGGGCCGGGGAGGGGGGAGGGGGAGGAGAGCCGGCGGGGGCGGGGGGGGCACGGGGGCGGAACGCGGGGGGAUCCGGCCUUAGGUUCGGAAUAACAGUUAGAAAUGACUGCGAAUACCGGAAGAUGCCGUGAAGGCCAAAGAUUUAUCGCCUGAGGAUGAGCCCGCGUAGGAUUAGCUAGUUGGUGUGGUAAAGGCGCACCAAGGCGACGAUCCUUAGCUGGUCUGAGAGGAUGAUCAGCCACACUGGGACUGAGACACGGCCCAGACUCCUACGGGAGGCAGCAGUGGGGAAUAUUGGACAAUGGGCGCAAGCCUGAUCCAGCAAUGCCGCGUGAGUGAUGAAGGCCUUAGGGUUGUAAAGCUCUUUUACCCGGGAUGAUAAUGACAGUACCGGGAGAAUAAGCCCCGGCUAACUCCGUG